UUAAACUGAAGAGUUUGAUCAUGGCUCAGAUUGAACGCUGGCGGCAGGCUUAACACAUGCAAGUCGAGC
rnacentral:rRNA from 1 species